rnacentral:rRNA from 1 species
CAAAGAUUAAGCCAUGCAUGUCUAAGUACAUACUUUUACAUAGUGAAACCGCGAAUGGCUCAUUAAAUCAGUUAUGGUUCCUUAGAUCGUACAAUCCUACUUGGAUAACUGUGGUAAUUCUAGAGCUAAUACAUGCAACAAAGCUCCGACCCUCGUGGAAAGAGCGCGUUUAUUAGAUCAAAACCAGUCGGGUCGCAAGGCCCGUCGUAUUGGUGAUACUGGAUAACUUUGUGCUGAUCGCACGGCCUCGCGCCGGCGACGUAUCUUUCAAAUGUCUGCCCUAUCAACUUUCGAUGGUACGUGAUAUGCCUACCAUGGUUGUAACGGGUAACGGGGAAUCAGGGUUCGAUUCCGGAGAGGGAGCAUGAGAAACGGCUACCACAUCC